rnacentral:rRNA from 1 species
UACGUAGGGGGCAAGCGUUGUUCGGAAUUACUGGGCGUAAAGGGCGCGUAGGCGGCCUUCUAAGUCAUGCGUGAAAUCCCCGGGCUCAACCCGGGAACUGCGUCUGAUACUGGAAGGCUUGAAUCCGGGAGAGGGAUGUGGAAUUCCAGGUGUAGCGGUGAAAUGCGUAGAUAUCUGGAGGAACACCGGUGGCGAAGGCGGCAUCCUGGACCGGCAUUGACGCUGAGGCGCGAAAGCCAGGGGAGCAAACGGG